AGGCUGUGAUGAUUGGCGCAGGG
rnacentral:piRNA from 2 species